UACGUAGGUGGCAAGCGUUGUCCGGAAUUAUUGGGCGUAAAGGGCGCGUAGGCGGUGCGGUAAGUCACCUGUGAAAUCUCCUGGCUCAACUGGGAGCUUGCAGGCGAAACUGCCGUGCUGGAGUGUGGGAGAGGUGCGUGGAAUUCCUGGUGUAGCGGUGAAAUGCGUAGAUAUCAGGAGGAACACCUGUGGCGAAAGCGGCGCACUGGACCACAACUGACGCUGAGGCGCGAAAGCUAGGGGAGCAAACAGG
rnacentral:rRNA from 1 species